rfam:Ovis aries breed Texel chromosome 9, whole genome shotgun sequence.
UCCCUGGUGGUCCAGUGGCUAAGACUCUGUGUUCCCAAUGCAGAGGGCCCAGGUUCAAUCCCUGGUCAGGGAA